CCUACGGGCGGCAGCAGUGAGGAAUAUUGGUCAAUGGGCGCGAGCCUGAACCAGCCAAGCCGCGUGAAGGAUGAAUGCCCUACGGGUUGUAAACUUCUUUUAUAAAGGAAUAAAGUGAGGCACGUGUGCCUUUUUGUAUGUACUUUACGAAUAAGGAUCGGCUAACCACGUGCCAGCAGCCGCGGUAAGACGGAGGGGCCGAGCGUUAUCCGGAUUUAUUGGGUUUAAAGGGCGCGUAGAUGGGUUGUUAAGUCAGUUGUGAAAGUUUGCGGCUCAACCUUAAAAUUGCAAUUGAUACUGGCAGCCUUGAGUACAGUAGAGGGAAGCGGAAUUCGUGGUGUAGCAGUGAAAUGCGUAGAUAUCACGAAGAACUCCGAUUGCGAAGGCAGCCUACUGGACUGUAACUGACAUUGAUGCUCGAAAGUGUGGGUAUCAAACAGGAUUAGAUACCCGGGUAGUC
rnacentral:rRNA from 1 species